rnacentral:rRNA from 1 species
UUGAACGCUGGCGGCAGGCUUAACACAUGCAAGUCGAGCGGGGAAGGGUAGCUUGCUACCUGACCUAGCGGCGGACGGGUGAGUAAUGCUUAGGAAUCUGCCUAUUAGUGGGGGACAACAUCUCGAAAGGGAUGCUAAUACCGCAUACGUCCUACGGGAGAAAGCAGGGGACCUUCGGGCCUUGCGCUAAUAGAUGAGCCUAAGUCGGAUUAGCUAGUUGGUGGGGUAAAGGCCUACCAAGGCGACGAUCUGUAGCGGGUCUGAGAGGAUGAUCCGCCACACUGGGACUGAGACACGGCCCAGACUCCUACGGGAGGCAGCAGUGGGGAAUAUUGGACAAUGGGGGGAACCCUGAUCCAGCCAUGCCGCGUGUGUGAAGAAGGCCUUUUGGUUGUAAAGCACUUUAAGCGAGGAGGAGGCUACCGAGAUUAAUACUCUUGGAUAGUGGACGUUACUCACAGAAUAAGCACCGGCUAACUCUGUG